rnacentral:rRNA from 1 species
UACGUAGGGUGCAAGCGUUAAUCGGAAUUACUGGGCGUAAAGCGUGCGCAGGCGGUUUUGUAAGUCUGUCGUGAAAUCCCCGGGCUCAACCUGUGAAUUGCGAUGGAGACUGCAAGGCUAGAAUCUGGCAGAGGGGGGUAGAAUUCCACGUGUAGCAGUGAAAUGCGUAGAGAUGUGGAGGAACACCGAUGGCGAAGGCAGCCCCCUGGGUCAAGAUUGACGCUCAUGCACGAAAGCGUGGGGAGCAAACAGG